CCCCCCGCAGGGCUUUGAGCAGGUGCGACGACGUGUCCACCGUCCUCUCCGUCCCUGUCCCUCUUCUUUCUUGUCAAGUUGUUAGUUCCCUGCCUUGCACUGCGGCCCCCCCGCCCCCCGCCAGCCGUCAGGAGACCCCCCAGCCCUCAGGCUCACGCCGCUGGCACCUGCGCGGCCUGCUUUCCCUCCACUCACCCUCAAGGUGUCGAUCGGGAAAAUCGCGUCCGAAACUGGGGUGCCCGAGAGCGAACAGACGCACAGGCCUCUCAGCAACGACUCUGGCACGCCGGCCGAAGUGACCCAGUCAGUGAGGUGGCUGCUUCUCAGAACAGGUGCUGAAGGGCAAGUCGGAGAGCGUCAAGACCCCCGGUGUCCCCUGAUUUCUGCGACACGCAUAGCCAGACAUCCCUCUGUUAUUUGGAGGGGGAUUUGGAGACGCGGCCUUUCUGCACAGAAUCCUGAAGCCUGUGUAGCUGUGGAUGGGGACCCGUGCCCCACUCCCCUCCCCCACCCGCCUGCCCCCAGGGCCUCCUGUCACAGGGCAGCCUGAAAGACUGCUAACUGCUGUGUGAUGCCCUCAGGGGACCUGCAUUUUAAAGAGCCAAGCCUUUACUAAUCCUAAGACUAUUUCUGCGAGGGUAAAUUGCCAUCAUUAUCUAGGGUGGAAAAAUAUCCUAAAGGGCUGGGUUUCUCCCCUAAAACCAUAGCCCACGAUGGGUCCCUGUUCUACCUGACGUUAACCCAUUGUGAAGGCCUGAAGGCCUGGCCGCCUCUCCUAACGGCACUUUCUCAUCUUAAACCUGUAAUGACCUCACAGGUCUGCUAUGGGGUUGGGGGUGCGUCAGGUCAGUGAAGGCGCUCCCAGGCCCUCUAUGACGGCCAGCUCACUUGGGGACACAUCGGGCUCUCAGAUCAACAGAGACCAGCGUCCCAACUGUCCUCAGCUUUCGCUGACCCAUUAAACUAC